CCUACGGGAGGCAGCAGUGAGGAAUAUUGGUCAAUGGACGAGAGUCUGAACCAGCCAAGUCGCGUGAAGGAUGACUGCCCUAUGGGUUGUAAACUUCUUUUAUAUGGGAGUAAAUGGUUCCACGUGUGGGAUUUUGUAGGUAUCAUAUGAAUAAGGAUCGGCUAACUCCGUGCCAGCAGCCGCGGUAAUACGGAGGAUCCGAGCGUUAUCCGGAUUUAUUGGGUUUAAAGGGUGCGUAGGUGGGUUGUUAAGUCAGUUGUGAAAGUUUGCGGCUCAACCGUGAGACUGCAGUUGAAACUGGCAGUCUUGAGUACAGUAGAGGUAGGCGGAAUUCGUGGUGUAGCGGUGAAAUGCUUAGAUAUCACGAAGAACUCCGAUUGCGAAGGCAGCUCACUGGACUGCAACUGACGCUGAGGCUCGAAAGUGUGGGUAUCAAACAGGAUUAGAUACCCGUGUAGUC
rnacentral:rRNA from 1 species